rnacentral:rRNA from 1 species
GGGGAAUAUUGGACAAUGGGCGAAAGCCUGAUCCAGCCAUGCCGCGUGUGUGAAGAAGGCCUUUUGGUUGUAAAGCACUUUAAGUGGGGAGGAAAAGCUAAUGAUUAAUACCCAUUAGCCCUGACGUUACCCACAGAAUAAGCACCGGCUAACUCUGUGCCAGCAGCCGCGGUAAUACAGAGGGUGCAAGCGUUAAUCGGAAUUACUGGGCGUAAAGCGAGCGUAGGUGGCUGUUUAAGUCAGAUGUGAAAGCCCCGGGCUUAACCUGGGAACUGCAUCUGAUACUGGACAGCUAGAGUAGGUGAGAGGGGAGUAGAAUUCCAGGUGUAGCGGUGAAAUGCGUAGAGAUCUGGAGGAAUACCGAUGGCGAAGGCAGCUCCCUGGAAUCAUACUGACACUGAGGUUCGAAAGCGUGGGUAGCAAAC